AAUCUGGUUGAUCCUGCCAGAGGCGACCGCUAUUGGAGUUCGAUUAAGCCAUGCGAGUAGAAUGAAAUUAGAUUCAUUGCAAACUGCUCAGUAACACGUGGAUAACCUGCCCUAUGCUCUGGAAUAACCUCGGGAAACUGAGAAUAAUACCGGAUAGAUCACAACGCCUGGAACGGUGUGUGGUUGAAAGACUACGGCAUAGGAUGGGUCUGCGGCGUAUCAGGUCGUAGGGGGUGUAAUGGACCCCCUAGCCAUCGACGCGUACGGGUGUUGGGAGACAUAGCCCGGAGACGGAUUCUGAGACACGAAUCCGGACCCUACGGGGUGCAGCAGG
rnacentral:rRNA from 1 species